GCCCCGGUGGUCUAGCGGUUAGGACGCCUCCCUUUCAAGGAGGAAAUCGCGGGUUCGAAUCCCGUCCGGGCUACCA
rnacentral:tRNA from 1 species